rnacentral:rRNA from 1 species
GCCGCCCGCUGGCGGCGUGCUUAACACAUGCAAGUCGAACGGAAAGGCCCUGCUUGCAGGGUACUCGAGUGGCGAACGGGUGAGUAACACGUGGGUGAUCUGCCCUGCACUUCGGGAUAAGCCUGGGAAACUGGGUCUAAUACCGGAUAGGAGCCAUUUUUAGUGUGAUGGUUGGAAAGUUUUUUCGGUGUAGGAUGAGCUCGCGGCCUAUCAGCUUGUUGGUGGGGUAAUGGCCUACCAAGGCGGCGACGGGUAGCCGGCCUGAGAGGGUGGACGGCCACAUUGGGACUGAGAUACGGCCCAGACUCCUACGGGAGGCAGCAGUGGGGAAUAUUGCACAAUGGGCGCAAGCCUGAUGCAGCGACGCCGCGUGGGGGAUGACGGCCUUCGGGUUGUAAACUCCUUUCGCUAGGGACGAAGCUUUUUGUGACGGUACCUAGAUAAGAAGCACCGGCUAACUACGUG